UACGUAGGGGGCAAGCGUUGUCCGGAUUUAUUGGGCGUAAAGAGCGUGUAGGCGGCUUGGUAGGUCCGCUGUGAAAACUCGAGGCUCAACCUCGAGAUGUCGGCGGAAACCACUUGGCUAGAGUCCGGAAGAGGAGAGUGGAAUUCCUGGUGUAGCGGUGAAAUGCGCAGAUAUCAGGAGGAACACCGAUGGCGAAGGCAGCUCGCUGGGACGGUACUGACGCUGAGGCGCGAAAGCGUGGGGAGCGAACAGG
rnacentral:rRNA from 1 species